rnacentral:rRNA from 1 species
GCGGACAGUGCCUGGUGGGUAGUUUGACUGGGGCGGUCUCCUCCCAAAGAGUAACGGAGGAGCACGAAGGUGGGCUAAUCACGGUUGGACAUCGUGAGGUUAGUGCAAUGGCAUAAGCCCGCUUGACUGCGAGAAUGACAAUUCGAGCAGGUGCGAAAGCAGGUCAUAGUGAUCCGGUGGUUCUGAAUGGAAGGGCCAUCGCUCAACGGAUAAAAGGUACUCCGGGGAUAACAGGCUGAUACCGCCCAAGAGUUCAUAUCGACGGCGGUGUUUGGCACCUCGAUGUCGGCUCAUCACAUCCUGGGGCUGAAGUCGGUCCCAAGGGUAUGGCUGUUCGCCAUUUAAAGUGGUACGCGAGCUGGGUUUAGAACGUCGUGAGACAGUUCGGUCCCUAUCUGCCGUGGGCG